GCUGCCCAUCAAGCACGGCUUGUGUGUUGGGUCGUCGUCCCCUCUCCGGGGGGGACGGGCCCCAAAGGCAGCGGCGGCACCGCGUCCGAUCCUCGAGCGUAUGGGGCUUUGUCACCCGCUCUGUAGGCCCGGCCGGCGCUUGCCGAACGCAAAACAACCAUUCUUUCCAGG
rnacentral:misc_RNA from 1 species